rnacentral:tRNA from 1 species
GAGGGUACACCUCAGCGGUAGAGCACAUGAUUAGUAUGCAUGAAGUCCUGGGUUCAAUCCCCAGUACCUCUG